UCUCCUACGGGAGGCAGCAGUGGGGAAUUUUGGACAAUGGGCGCAAGCCUGAUCCAGCAAUGCCGCGUGUGUGAAGAAGGCCUUCGGGUUGUAAAGCACUUUUGUUCGGGAAGAAAAGGCUCUGGAUAAUACCUGGAGCUGAUGACGGUACCGGAAGAAUAAGCACCGGCUAACUACGUGCCAGCAGCCGCGGUAAUACGUAGGGUGCAAGCGUUAAUCGGAAUUACUGGGCGUAAAGCGUGCGCAGGCGGUUUGUUAAGACAGAUGUGAAAUCCCCGGGCUCAACCUGGGAACUGCAUUUGUGACUGGCAGGCUAGAGUAUGGCAGAGGGGGGUGGAAUUCCGCGUGUAGCAGUGAAAUGCGUAGAUAUGCGGAGGAACACCGAUGGCGAAGGCAGCCCCCUGGGCCAAUACUGACGCUCAUGCACGAAAGCGUGGGGAGCAAACAGGAUUAGAUACCCUGGUAGUCCACGCCCUAAACGAUGUCAACUAGUUGUUGGGGGAUUCAUUUCCUUAGUACGUAGCUAACGCGUGAAGUUGACCGCCUGGGGAGUAC
rnacentral:rRNA from 1 species